rnacentral:rRNA from 1 species
GGAAAAGAAACCAACAGGGAUUGCCUUAGUAACGGCGAGUGAAGCGGCAAAAGCUCAAAUUUGAAAUCUGGCACCUUCGGUGUCCGAGUUGUAAUUUGAAGAAGGUAACUUUGGAGUUGGCUCUUGUCUAUGUUCCUUGGAACAGGACGUCACAGAGGGUGAGAAUCCCGUGCGAUGAGAUGCCCAAUUCUAUGUAAAGUGCUUUCGAAGAGUCGAGUUGUUUGGGAAUGCAGCUCUAAGUGGGUGGUAAAUUCCAUCUAAAGCUAAAUAUUGGCGAGAGACCGAUAGCGAACAAGUACAGUGAUGGAAAGAUGAAAAGAACUUUGAAAAGAGAGUGAAAAAGUACGUGAAAUUGUUGAAAGGGAAGGGCUUGAGAUCAGACUUGGUAUUUUGCGAUCCUUUCCUUCUUGGUUGGGUUCCUCGCAGCUUACUGGGCCAGCAUCGGUUUGGAUGGUAGGAUAAUGACUAAGGAAUGUGGCUCUACUUCGGUGGAGUGUUAUAGCCUUGGUUGAUACUGCCUGUCUAGACCGAGGACUGCGUCUUUUGAUGACUUA